rnacentral:lncRNA from 10 species
UUUGCAUAUGAAGCCCCUUUUUGAUCUUAGGUUCUAGGCACUGGAGAUAAAACUGUAAAUGAGGGGGAUUCUAAAGCAGCACUGGUUCAUCUAGCUGGAAGUAGCCUCAGCCAAGGCCAUGAGUCGGAAAUUCACUCUAAACAGGAGAAGCAGCAAUGAGAACUUCAAGAAGAGAUAUAAGCUCAUCCAAGAUCAACUGCAGAGGAGGACGAGGGAAAUUUUAUAUGGGAACAAUUAUCUGAAAAAUAGAAUGUCCUCAUUUGUAUGGUCAAGGCUGGGUUGCAGAGAAGUCCAUGUUGCAGCUCAUGGAAAAAAAGAACCAAAGGGACUCAAGAACACUGGCUUAUGUCUUAGAUUGGAGAUGACCUGGAAAGUCAACUUUCACCCAUAACCCAUUGGCCUAAAACAAUAGAAGGCAACUGGAAAAGAGGCAAGGAUUCUAACUACAUACUGCAGAAAAAAUAUUCACACCUGUCAAAUUCCAACAGCUGGCAUUGUUGUUGUUCUACGAAUAAGCACACACAGAAUCCUCGUGAAUAGUUCUUUGUCUCUUGCUCUAGUAAAUCAUAACCUGCUUGUAGCUUUUUUAUGAACCUUCAGGAAUAACUCUUCAGAGGAUGCUAAUACAUCAUUAAGAUUAAAUUGAACCUCAAAGGUGGGUUUUUUUUCCAAAAUGAUAAAGGCCACCAACACUGCAAGGUUUGCCGUCAUUCCCUUGAUCUGGUAAGUGACACCGUCUUCAGGGUUUGUGUACUCAAAGAUAUGAUUAAUAAAACGGUGACCAAGACGUGUGACGUAAUGCUGGUCAUGGACCUGUGGAUGCAGGAAAUAGGCCAGAGGCACCAGGAAUACAUCCUUAACUUCAGCAGGAUUCGGCUGGGCCUGGAAGUUGUGGUCUAUUAAACCCACAAAUGGAGUUAUCAAUGUAUCUGUCUAAAAGCAGAAAACAAAACAGACAAAUUAAGAAGUGAAGUGAUACUGCUUCAAAUCCUAAAAUCAUGCCACUUCUAGGUGAGCUAAGAAAAUACACCGAACCUGGGAGAAGGGGAAGAAAGCUUAUUCCGGAAACAAAUUUAUGUUCCCCCUAAAAUGGGAGUCAUCCUGCUCUACCUGAGGUGACAUCUAUGAGAUGACUCUGAAAAUGAUUUCUUGUAUGAACAUAAAGUAGUACAAUCUUUUGGAAUGGCAAUUUGGCAGUAUCAUAAAAAUGUGUUCGCUUUGACCUGGGAAUUGCAUUUGUGUAUCUGUAUGAUAAAUUCCUACCAGUAAGAAAAGACACAAGUAUAAACCUGAAGAAUUAGUUUCAACAACAGCCCCAAAUUCUAAAGUUAUCACUCUUCACUUUAUAGGCAUUUAGGUUAUAUAAAUUAGGGUUAUAUCCAUAAAAGAGGAUACUAUGUAGCCUUUAAAAACAAUGGGAUAGACAUCUUUCCUUCUCAGUAAAGAAAAAAAUGUGCUAUACUUAUGAACAGAAAAGUAAAGUGAUAUAAUACUAGUUAUGACAUAUUCCCAUUUAUGGAAAAAUUUCAUAGUACAUACACAUAUAUAUAUAAUUAUGUGUCUUAUAUAUAACUAUAUGUGAACUACUUUAUAUAACACACAUGUAUAUAUUACAUGGGAGAGGGAUUUCUAUUUACAACCACAACUGCUUGCAAAUGAACAUGAGUGGCCGGGUGUGGUGGCUCACGCCUGUAAUCCCAGCACUUUGGGAGGCUGAGGUGGGCGGACCACCUGAGGUCAGGAGUUUGAGACCAGCCUAGCCAACAUGAUGAAAUCCCGUCUCUACUAAAAAUACACAAAUUAGCCGGGUGUGGUGGUGCGUGCCUGUAAUCCCAGCUACUCAGGAGGCUGAGGCAGGAGAAUUGCUUGAACUUGGGAGGCGGAGAUAGAUUGCAGUGAGCCGAGAUCAUGCCACUGCACUCCAGCCUGGGUGACAGAGAGAGGCCCAGUCUCAAAAAUAAAAAUAAAUAUAUAAAAGUAAAAAAGCAAAUGAACAUGAGUGUUGUCAAAUGAAAGACUGUUUUGUUAUACUGGAAACCCUGAGAGGGAGGCCUGGGGCUGAGUGAGGAUGUGGGAACUGGUAAGAGCUGCCUGCCUUUGUAUUAGAAAGUGAGAAGAACUGGAAUUCCUGGAGCAUCCCAAGAGGAAGUGGGUGGAAAAAGCCAGAGAGGUAGACACAUGGUGAGGCUGGGACCUAUCCGGCCUGCAGAAUGUUCUGAGGGACAGCCAAAGACAGGAAACCAAAUUUAGGAACAGAGACAACUCAGACCAUUAACCAAAAUAAUAGUGAAAGUCAACAUUUGGACCAGGAGGAGACAAGAGGAACAUAGACUUCGUAUGUCCUUGGGGCAGGAAAUUUGGGGUCAUUAAGUUACCCGAGGGCAGAGGCAACAUUCUACCAGCACGUAACACCACACCUGGCAUUGGGGAAAUGCUUAGUCUCUGAAUAUGGAGUUUUCCAGGUGGACUCUGAGAUAAGGACUCAGAUGCAAGUGAUUUUUUAAGAAAGUGCUCCCAGGGGAAACAGUUAAGGGGAAGAGGGGAGCAAUACUCAUAAGGGAAGAAGGCUGGCAAGGGCACCAUGGGGUGUUCUGGAGGGUAAAUUAAUAUGCAGUUUGUCCCACAUGGAGACAAGGGAGCUGGGAUUUCAUGCUCCCCAGCCCCAGUCAGUCACUGGUUAAGGACUACCUUGCCAGAGGUGAAUUCACAGGCACUCCCAGCUCUCUGUGCAGGACACAUGGCAAGGUGGCUCCAGUAUCAAGGGUACCAGUAUUCAGAAGAAAGCUGCCAAGUGUUGUCAGAGGCGUUUGAACCAGAGCAACUCCAUCUUGAAUAGGGGCUGGGUAAGAUAAGGCUUGGAGCUACUGGGCUGCAUUCCCAGGAGGUUAGGGCAUGCUUAGUCACCAGAUGAGACUGAGAUACAAGUCAUAAAGACCUUACAGUAAAGAAGGCCAUCAAAACGCACCAAAACCAAGAUGGCAAUGAAAGUAACCUCUGGUCAUCCUCACUGCUCAUUAUACGAUAAUUAGAAAGCAUUAGAAUGUUAAAAGAUACUCCCACUAGUGCCAUGACAGAUUACAAAUGCCACGGCAAUGUCAGGAAGUUACCCUACAUGGUCUAAAAAUGGGAGGAACUCUCACCUCUGGGAAUUGCCCAUCCCUUUCCUGGAAAACUCAUGAAUAACCCACCCCUUGUUUAGCAUAUGAUCAAGAAAUAACCAUAAAAAUGGCCAACCAGCAGCACAUGCUGUUGCUCUGUUAUGGAAUAGCCAUUCUUUUUUUUCUUUACUUCUCUAAUAAACUUGCUUUCACUUUAUGGACUCACCCUGUGAGAUCCUAGAACCCUCUCUUAGGGUCUGGAUCAGGCCCCCUAUCUGGUAACAGUGAGUUAUCAGAAGCCCUGGGGUUGUAAGAGGAAUAUGAAGGGGCCUGGACAGAGCCCCAACAAUGUAUGCUCAGUAAAUAUUCGUGGUUGCUGCUACCAUUGGUGACCACAACUUACGGGCACCUAGUCUAGUUCCCAGCACCCUCUGAUUCCUUACAACAAUCUGAUCGCGAAGAAGCCUUAACAACUACAAUUAGAGACGUGAAGAAACUUGCCCAAGGGCAUAUUCUGCUGAUACUUGGCAGAAACUGGAUUCGACCACAGAUGUGUUGCUCAUACUCCUGGGUAUAUUUCAGAGACCUUUGCAAAAAGUAGUACAUAAAUGUCUGACAAAAGGGAAAACUGGGGUGGGGGUUGUGGUGUCACAGCCUGCCUGGAAGGCUUAUGUAGCGGGUACAUACAUAGGUGCAUACAUACAUAGGUAGCUACUCUGGAGGCUGAGGCAGGAGAAUUGCUUGAACUUGGGAGGUGGAGGUUGCAGUGAGCUGAGAUCACUGGGACUCGAGAUCACUUGAGAAAAGCCAAUAGCACCCUUCCACUCCCAGCUAUGAUCUCCAGACAUUACCAAAUUCCCCAGGGUUGAAAAAUCACUCCAGGUUAAGAGCCACGUAGAUUAGAUUAUGCUUAUAAUUUUCAAUAAAUGGCAUUUUUGUGAUACAUUUUAAAAAUUAGCAGGGGCCAAAAAACAAAGCAACCCUCCCUUGCACUUCCAAACAAAGCAGACUUUUUAAAGCCUUUGUUUAAUCUCUCAAUCACGCCAUUUUAGAAAUCUCCUGUUCCAGGAGUAUCUGGCCCCCAGGAAUCUCCCAGAGACACUUUCCUGUUAAUGCUCCUGAAUUCUAUCCACCCACAUGCAGAACUCAGUAGCACCUGGGGACCUUGGGAACAGAGUUAGUCUCAUUUUGGAAACUUUUAAUCAGUAUAGCUAAAUUAGUUAAUUGAUUUCUAAAGUAAAUCCUCCAAAUGCUGGUGGAUUUGCGGAAAUCAACUGUAAAGAGUUCCCAUUAGAAAACCAAAUGGAAAAGUAAUUGACACAUUUCGUGUGUAAUCCCAUGUCUCCAUCUCGCUUUCAUACACACACACUUAGAAAACAUUUAUUGAGUGGCCACUAGCUUUUUGCAAACAAAACCACCCUUGGGUACUGACCUUUCUAUUUUUAAAAAGGACCCAAUUAAGACAGACAUUGUCUCAGCAUCACUGAUCUUCAAAACACUGCCCCACCAAGACUUCAGUCAAGUGGAACAUAAAGGAUCAUCUAACCCACUGGUUUUCUAAGUGUUAGGCAACAGUGGGACU